UACGUAGGCAGCAAGCGUUGUUCGGAAUUACUGGGCGUAAAGAGUGUGUAGGCGGUGUGGUAAGUUUGGUGUGAAAUCUCCCGGCUUAACUGGGAGGGUGCGCCGAAGACUGCCAUGCUCGAGGAUGGGAGAGGAAAGCGGAAUUCCUGGUGUAGCGGUGAAAUGCGUAGAUAUCAGGAGGAACACCUGCGGUGUAGACGGCUUUCUGGACCAUCCCUGACGCUGAGACACGAAAGCGUGGGUAGCAAACAGG
rnacentral:rRNA from 1 species